CUACGUGCCAGCAGCCGCGGUAAUACGGAAGGUCCUGGCGUUAUCCGGAUUUAUUGGGUUUAAAGGGAGCGCAGGCUGCACUUUAAGCGUGUUGUGAAAUGUACCGGCUCAACCGGUAACGUGCAGCGCGAACUGGGGUGCUUGAGUACGAAGAGGGAAAGCGGAACUCGUGGUGUAGCGGUGAAAUGCUUAGAUAUCACGAGGAACUCCGAUCGCGAAGGCAGCUUUCCGUUUCGGGACUGACGCUGAGGCUCGAAAGUGCGGGUAUCGAACAGGAUUAGAUACCCUGGUAGUCCGCACGGUAAACGAUGGAUGCUCGCUGUUGGAUAUUUUUAUUCAGUGGCUAAGUGAAAACGUUAAGCAUCCCACCUGGGGAGUACGCCGGCAACGGUGAAACUCAAAGGAAUUGACGGGGGCCCGCACAAGCGGAGGAACAUGUGGUUUAAUUCGAUGAUACGCGAGGAACCUUACCCGGGCUUGA
rnacentral:rRNA from 1 species